UCUCUCUUUAAAUACUGACAUCUGCCCUUUGAACUUGUCUGGGGACCACGUGCCCAUCCUCAGAAAGGGAGCCACCAACUCCCUGCUUGUAUUUGUGAUGGCUCAGUCCCUGCCAGCCUCUCCCUCUUCCAGCAGAAUGUCAUCAGGAGGCUAAUACAUGAUUUAUAAGAGCCUCGUGCUCAUCUAGAUCCUUUCUCAGCAUGCCGGUCUAUAUCAGCCGUCUGCUUGUGUGAUCCAGGAUCGUGUGGGACCCCUCCAGUCCGCUAGAGACAGGUGACCUUAUUGCCCAGCAACAAAUUUCAGAGACUUAUUUGUCACCGAGUAGUUGCUCUGAUUUCAAGUUUUAACAUUCAGAAUCUCCAAAAAAGAUGCAGAAUCUUCAGCUAUAUUUCUAUUGCUACAGACAUUUCUCUCCCUAUUUGCUCCUUGGGAAAUCCUUGCAGUAAUCAGAUUGCCCAAUGUUAGACAAUUCUUCAAACAUGGCUUUGGAUGCAGCCUGCUGUGUAAUACUCCCUUUGCAUUUUUGCAGUGAGAAAAGGAGUUUUAUUAACCUUCCAGGUAGAUUUUGGUGAAAGACAGAAACGCAUCUAGAGGGUGCCCUGUGCAGUGUCUGUUUUGAACACCACACUAUUCACAGUGCUGAGCACGAUACCUGUACUAUUUAUUUUUAAUAAAUAUUUGGGCUAACUGCUGUCUUGGAUUCUCACAUUAAUUGGAAGCCCUGCCCUUUAUAGUUACUUCUGAACAUGACAUUAUAAAUAUGUACUUCUUGACUACACUACAUUUUAAAAAUAGCUUACUUACUGCUGAGCUAUGAGCAGUAUUUAACUGACACCCAUUUUUAUGUUUUUUGCUUGUUUUUGUUGUUUUUUACUUUAUAUUGUAAUAUUACUAUGAAAAACAAGUAGGCAUGUAUCUAUAAAGCCAUGCAUUACAACCAGGGGGUAGAGAAGGUAGGAAGAAGAGGCAGGAAAAUCAGUCUUGCCUUGUUUACAUAUCUAAAUAGCUAAAUGACUUUCGGUGUGGAAUGAGUUAUUUGCAAAGAAGGUAUAAAAGAUGGUUAUAUGUUCAUCAAAAAUGCAUUCUUUAGCAAAGGAGAGUGUCUGUUCCAUUGUAGAAAGAAAGGCUUAAUAGUGUGCUGUGUUUUAAGGGUUGAAGAUUCUUUUUCUUGCUUUCCUUGUUCAUUGCACUUAACUUGUUAGAAUGUUGGCAGAAAGAACACAGGGCUCUGGAAUUACAAGACCUGUGUUUGAAACUUAGCUUCUCCAUUUUCUUACCUACCUGGCCUUUAUCUCUAGACCUUAUUCUUGCCUUAUAAUUAUACUGCAUCACCUCAAAACGUAGCUGAAGGUAAAUUAGAAACUAGAAAGCGCAAUAUCCGACUAGAAAAGUAGCAUCGUCACAUCCUUUGUAAAUAAGAUCAACCCCCUGACUCUGGAUAUUGUCAGAAUUCACCAGAAUUACAUCUUUUAUGAAAGGCUUCUGCUCACCCAAGUCUAAUGUAAUAAAUGCAAGGACUUUGCCAAGGCAAAUUCCUGAAAAGAACACAGUGCAACAGAAGCAGUUCACAAAGUCCUGUGAGUUUUGGUCAAUGAUUACAUCCUGUUGCAGUGUUAGCAAGGGUUGGCAACCAACCUGGAGAUAGAGAAAAGAAGUGACGAAAAUGUCAAGAUUCCUCAAGCAGAUAUGUCACAGAAUGAAUUAGAGUAGACUAGGACAUUGUGUUCAGCGAUAAGGGCCAGGAGGUUUGGCCAUGUCCAUUCCAAAUUAUUACUGUCCUGUUUGAAGAAUCUCACUUUGCCGUGAAGUGUUGAAAACAAAUGCAUUCCAGCAGUGAGUUGUCAGUCCUGCCCUUUAUUCUGGAUGACCUACGGACAGGAAUAGCAUACUGUACUUUCUUGUCUUAUAGUUUUAACACUUCCUGUUUUUCAAACAAACAUUUAGGACUCGUGGUAUGACAGUUGCAAAGUGAUCGUUUGAGGAGACGAGCUUUAUUUGAAUUUGCAGCUAUUCCAGAGAGACUGCACGGUAAUCGUGUCCUUGUUCGGUCGUGAUUUCAGUGAAGUGUGACCUUGUAGAGAUUUUCCAGAGGGAAUCAAAUCUGAGAGUAUGUUGAACUCAACUGAAUUUUGCAACAUGUCUUAAGAACAUUCCUUUGGGCACUCCUGAGUUGGAUUUUUAACUCCCUUAGCUUCAGGUGGGAGGAAGGCACACAGGAAUAGAAACGGUAUGUUCUCCAUGUUUUCCCCGGGAAAUUUGUUUGCCAGAAGUCUCCUGAGUCCAGCCCACUAACUCCAUGGUUCCCCAAGCACGUUCUCCCACUGGGUGAACCAAGAGGCUCCGUACUCUUCUCUCAACCUCUUACUAGAGAAACUGAUCUUCUGACCCAGGUUAUCAGGCUUUGACCUUUGGCACAUUUGUCCUGGUGUCCUUAUACAGAUAAGCACACUUGAAAAAUGGGCUAGGUGAGAAAGAAAAAAAAAAAACUGGUACCAAUGAAGCGACCAAAGGAAAAAUGAGAAAGGAGCUACCAGGAAAUUGAAGAAGGGAAAUGGAAAUGGAUAAUGAGGUGGUGGGGGGAAGAGUUUUCUUGAAGAACAUGCUGUAUCAGAGGGUCACUAUGACCACCUCAAAGAAAAAAUUCUGACAGAACUUCUCUCUUUCUUCCCAGGGGUCUCUGAUCAUAGAUCACACACCAGUGAGUCUGGGAGAAGAAGUGGAGGUGAAAGGUCAGAUUUCUGAGCAUCCUAAAUUCUGCUUCACAGUCCUUUACGGAAACUAUGUUCCUGCCUUGCAUAUUUAAAGCCAUCAGUAGGCAGUGAUAACCUCAGAGAGAGGCUGAAAUAGUGUGGAGAUGUGCUUUGGCCAAAUUAAUCAGAAAGAUGAUUUUCUCUUCAUCUCUGCCCCAUUCCCUGUAUUAGAGACCGGAACCUUAGCUACACAAAUUCAUGUUGGACGUAGGACUCAAGCUGAGCUGCAAAACAUACUUGUUUCCAUUGUUUCCACUGUCUUUAGCUUUUUCAGCAUGAAUUUCCAUGCCGCAUGUAAAGAACAAGCCUUUCAUUCAGACCUCAAGGUUCCAACAAUAGGGCCCCAGCCCAUUUUUACAGCCUCGUCUUUUCCCACUACUUUCCUUCACCUCCAACACAUUGGGCUGACUCCUGGCAGAGUUUCUGCAGCUCUGAACUUCUACUGUUCCUCUGAGUAUCCUUUAAGCCCUGUCAUAAACCCUAUCCUCCAGGAAACCUCCACCAGUUCUCCUAACUUCAUUGAUCUCCCCCACCCUGAACUUGAUCCCUAUUUGAAGGCCCUUACUGUUAACCUCCCUGGUUAAAGGAUCCUUUGUGUUCCUGUCCCGUGCCCCAUGUUCCUCCAGUGGAGGAGUGUGUGGUUUACAAUACCUUUCUUAAACAGCCUCGCUCUGCUUUGUGCCUUGCCUGAUGUGUAUGUACAUUGUGAGGGGACAUGUCAUCGAUAUCCAAUGUUAACCAGAGAAGGAAUCUUAGAGAUUCACUUGUAUCACCUUUUCAUUUUAUAGAUGAGAAAAAGAGGUGUGCAAAGGUCAACCACCCAAGGUCAUUGGUGACAUGGUGGCAGAGCCAGGCCUCUUGGCUCCCUGUACAUUACGAUCCUUCUAAAAUGUGGAGGGUCACAUGAUGUCAAGGGAGAAUAUUUGGGGGGUUGUGAAAUUGUAUGGACUGUUUAUAUCCUGAUGGGAAUAAUAGAGCAAAGAGGGGAAAUUGAUGAUAAAAUUAUUGCAGGGGGGAAAUUGUUGAGUAUGUGAGAGGGGAUAGAAUCUGGUGCAGGACUUCGAAAAUAUCCCGGACACUUUACCCAUUGCAACAGUAGGGGACACUGAGUAUGUGGGUGUAGUUGUAGGUAUAUUGGUAGAUAAUCAAGAGAAUGUGGACAUUUUUUCUUGAACUCUCCUGUUUUUUUUCUUUUGAUUAAGAGAUAGGGUUUUUAGCUGAAAAUGAGGAGGAGGGAAAAGGUUUUAGAGGUUUGAAGUGAGAAGAGAGAAAAGUUGUCUGGGGAGUGGAAAAAGGAAUCGAUGAAGGAAUUCUAGCAUGAUUGUGGUCAGCACUUACCACUUGAGGUUUGUGGUCAAGCAGUGUUUUCCAGGCUUUUGGCCCUCUGGACAUUUAGCAUCUCUGGCCCUUAGUAAUACCCCUCACUGAUUGUGAUGAUCAAAAGAACUCCCGGUCACAUUUCCAAAUGCCCCCUAGGGGACUGAUCCAUUCCUAAUUGAGGAAAACUAGGACACCAGUCACAAAGAAGCAUGCUUUUCUGUAGUCACAUUCACCUGCCGGCAGGAAGUAGGCACCAAUCUGAAUUUAGGACUCUUGGGGUUUGACAGUCAAGAACAUGGGCAGGAGAGAGGGGGAGGGGGAUUGAGGGUAUAUGUAAUGGAGUGAUUGUAACAGAUUUUCUGAGCGACAGAAUGCCCACGGCUGGCUCAAAGCAUCUCAGGAACACCCUAGUGGUGGAGGAUUUCUGGCGACCAUUCAGGGGCUUUUGGAUAUGUGUCCAGUUUCUGGCUAUUACAAAUAAAGUGUUAUGAACAUUCUGGUACGUAUGUUUGGGUGGACAUAUACAUUCGUUUCUCUUGGGAAUAUAGCCAGAGUGGACUUGAUGGGUCAUAGGGAACAUGUUCAUUUAGCUCUAUUAAAAACUGCUGCUCAUCUGUUUAAAGGUUACAUGUACCCCUACCUAUGAUUCAGUCAUUCCAUUUAUCCAAGAGAAAACAAGGCAUAUGUCCACACAAAGACCUGUACAUUAGUGUUCAGGGCUGCUUUAUUUGUAAUAGUAGAGAACUGGAAACAGCACAGCUGUCCAUCAACAGGUGCAUAGAUCAACAAAUGGGGUACAGCUGUACAAUGGAAUACUACUCAGCAAUAAAAAACAAUAGCUAAGUCAACAUGGAUGAAUUCUAAAAUCAAUAUGUGAGUAAAAGAACUGGGUACAAAAAUACCUACUCUGUGAUUCCAUGAAUAUAAAAUCCUAGAGAAGACAAACUGAUCCAUAGUGAUAGAAAGCAGAUCAGCGGUUGCCUAAGUAUCAAGUGGUGGGGAAUAGAGAGAAGGAAUGGGUUCCGAAAAGCAGUAGGAAAUUUCUGGGGGUGGUGGACAUGUUUAUUUUCUUGACUGUGGCAAUUGCUUCAUGGGUACAUACAUAUGUAAAACUCACCAAGUUAUACACGACAAAAAUAUGCAAUUUAUUGUAUAUGAAUUACACCUCAGAGCUACUGAAAAAAAAUUAACCUACCGAAUGGUUUUCCAAAGCGGUUGAACCAAUCUGUACUCCAUCAGCAACGUGUGAGAAUUCUAGUUGUCUACCACAUGGUUGCCAACAUUUGGUUGUAAUCAGUCCUUUUAAUUUUGGUGGUAGUGUGGCGGUAUCACAUUUUUGGUUUUCAUUUGCAUUUUCCUGAUCAAAUGAUAUUGAGUACCUUUUCAUCUGCACAUGGGUCAUUUGAAUAUCCUCUUCUGUUAAAUGCCAGCUUCAAGUGUUUUCCCAUUUGUCUGUUGCAUUCUUAGUCUUUUGAUUUGUAGGUCUUUGUGUAUUUGGAUGAGGCCCUUGUCAUGACAGGGAGGGAGGGAGUUCUCUUCUCAGUCUGUCACCUCCCUUUUUACUCUCUGAAUGUUGUCUUUUGAUGAAGAGUUCUUAAUUUUAAUGGAAUCCAAUUUAUUAAAUUUUUCUCUUGUUUAGUGGUUUUUACAUCUUGUUUUAAAAAUGUUUGCCUACCUAAAGUUGUAGAGAUACCGUCUGUGGUUUUGUUUUGUUUUGUUUUGUUUUGUUUUGUUUUGUUUUGUUUCUGGUAGUAUAUUGCUUUAACAAUCACAUAUACACCUCUAUGUUUUUAAAAAAAUUUUUUUGGUAUACUGUGAAAUAGAGUGUGAAAUAAAGGAUCAGUGAACCUUUUACUUUAAGGGA